AACCGUAAACUUUAAAUUACACCCACAUCGCCAGGGAACUACGAGCAAAGCUUAAAACCCAAAGGACUUGACGGUACCCCACAUCCACCUAGAGGAGCCUGUCCUGUAAUCGAUAACCCCCGUUUGACCUCACCAUUUUUAGCUUAUCAGCCUGUAUACCUCCGUCGCCAGCUUACCACGUGAGCGACCCUCAGUGAGCUUAAUGCCUAUACACCAACACGUCAGGUCAAGGUGCAGCAGAUAAAAUGGGAAGAGAUGGGCUACACUCUCUAUUCUAGAAAACACGGAAGAUUAUUUAUGAAAUCUAGUCAAAAGGCGGAUUUAGUAGUAAAAAGAGAUAAGAGUGCUCUUUUUAACAUGGCACUGGGGUGUGUACACACCGCCCGUCACCCUCUUCAAAGCUAACAUAAAGUCCCUAACACACUUAAGCAUUACAGAAGAGGCAAGUCGUAACAUGGUAAGUAUACCGGAAGGUGUGCUUGGAAA
rnacentral:rRNA from 1 species